GACGAACGCUGGCGGCGUGCCUAAUACAUGCAAGUAGAACGCUGAAGGAGGAGCUUGCUUCUCUGGAUGAGUUGCGAACGGGUGAGUAACGCGUAGGUAACCUGCCUGGUAGCGGGGGAUAACUAUUGGAAACGAUAGCUAAUACCGCAUAAGAGUAGAUGUUGCAUGACAUUUGCUUAAAAGGUGCAAUUGCAUCACUACCAGAUGGACCUGCGUUGUAUUAGCUAGUUGGUGAGGUAACGGCUCACCAAGGCGACGAUACAUAGCCGACCUGAGAGGGUGAGCGGCCACACUGGGACUGAGACACGGCCCAGACUCCUACGGGAGGCAGCAGUAGGGAAUCUUCGGCAAUGGACGGAAGUCUGACCGAGCAACGCCGCGUGAGUGAAGAAGGUUUUCGGAUCGUAAAGCUCGGUUGUAAGAGAAGAACGAGUGUGAGAGUGGAAAGUUCACACUGUGACGGUAUCUUACCAGAAAGGGACGGCUAACUACGUG
rnacentral:rRNA from 1 species